AAUGCAGUCUCGAGACCCUGUCUCCUGUAUCAGCAGUGGCUGGAGACUCCACGAGGCUGCACAGAUAAAACCGAAGGAGCAAAAGGCGUGACUUCUCUAGACUCCGAAGUUUUACGUGCGAUAUUCUUUCAACAAGUCUUGUCCUGUUUCCACGGCGGUAAUGGUUUGUUGUGUACCGUUACCAAUCUUAAAACAGGCAGAAUAAAGCAAUGGCAGUCAGAUAUUGUCUGGCAGGAGAAGCGCGCCUUUCAGACACUUUGAAUUGCCAUAAUU
ensembl:scaRNA SCARNA13 small Cajal body-specific RNA 13